AUUGAACGCUGGCGGCAGGCCUAACACAUGCAAGUCGAACGAGUGGCGGACGGGUGAGUAAUGUCUGGGAAACUGCCCGAUGGAGGGGGAUAACUACUGGAAACGGUAGCUAAUACCGCAUACCAUCGGAUGUGCCCAGAUGGGAUUAGCUAGUAGGGGGGGUAACGGCUAACCUAGGCGACGAUCCCUAGCUGGUCUGAGAGGCUGACCAGCCAAACUGGAACUGAGACACGGUCCAGCGUCCGCCGGGAGGCAGCAGUGGGGAAUAUGGCACAAUGGGCGCAAGCCUGAUGCAGCCAUGCCGCGUGUAUGAAGAAGGCCUUCGGGUUGUAAAGUACUUUCAGCGGGGAGGCGUUACCCGCAGAAGAAGCACCGGCUAACUCCGUGCCAGCAGCCGCGGUAAUAC
rnacentral:rRNA from 1 species